rnacentral:lncRNA from 1 species
AAAAAAUAAAUUCAAUUAUUAACAAGAAGGUAUUAAAGUUCGCAAAGCGUGAUAUGAAUCAAUCUCUGGUCCAUCAGCAUAUAUAUCUAAAUUUACAUGUUGACACAGUAGCAUUUUCAAUAAGAUUAAAGCGCCAACUGAAAGAAAUAUGUUAGUAGAAGUAAUGUGAAUAAUCUAUUUAAGUUUGCAAGCAAUCCCUUUUCAUUUGAUCAUAAAAAAAAUGAGAGUGUUAUCUUACAAACUACUAAGCGACCAAUCUAUACGGGAUUGCUUCACCGUCCAACAAAAAAUGCAAAGUAUAUCUAUACUUACCCUUGUCAAGUACUUCUCCAGAGCAAACUCCGCCUUCAAAUUUUGAACUCGUAAUACAUCCGGGACAACCUUCACGAACUUUGCAAUCGCAACUCUCAAUUCGCUCAAUGGCCAUUGUAAUUAAUUCAUCAGUAUGUUCAUAUGCCUUGUUGCAUAAACCAGCACCAGAUGAAUCACCACAAUUAUCAUAGAAAAUGAGUCGGGAAGGACGUCUUCGCUCGCUUUUAGCCUCUUUAUACUCCUUUUCACCCGCUUUACAUUCUGUUCGAAUAUCGUUACCGCUGUUACUAAUAAAAAUUGGCAUCAACGAAAGUAAAGCAUGUUGGGCAGCAUGUAUACUAGCGGCUCCAUUUAUUUUUUUUAAUGACAAAACCUCAAUGAUAUGCCAAGGUACAUCUAUCCAGAAACCUCGACUAUCAAUUUCAACAGGAUGAUCGGUAAUAUCUACCACGUCCAGAAUAUCUUUCUGCUUGUUAACUUUGAAAUACCCAAAUACAUGUAAUGUUGCUUUAACAGCCCCAAAAUAAAUGUUUGUACUUCCAUGCAUAGUCUUCUUCAUUAAGCUGCGAACAGGAUCAACAUCUGUGAAAUCUCUUUGCAAUGUUGACCAUUCAACAUCAACUUGAUGAGCAGUAAUAAUUCUCUUGUUAAUAUUUAGGAGCCUAAUGAUAAACGUUUUUCCUUGAUAAACAUAAACUGCACCUUCGUAAGCAGUUAAUGCAACACGAAAAGGUUCGAGGAGUUCUAGAAUAACAUUCUUAUCAUUUGUGACAUCGACGAGAGUAAACAUGUCUUCACUAACGCUUCGUAUCCGUACCUGCGAGGCAGGAAAAGGAAGAUAUUUUGGAUGAGGCCGAUAACUCUCUUCAACCAUUUCUAAAUUUGCUUCGCAAAUGUCUUGAAUUUGAUUUCCAAAAAACUUUUCGUCGCUCCUUAUGUUAAUGGGAAGCUCAUAUGCAGCACACUGAAGAUGACUCGCUAGUAAUACCUCAUUUGUCAAGUCUAAAGUGAGUUCAGCAUUUGGUUGAGUGUGAAUCAAAAUAGGAUGCUUUAAAUAAAACUGAUCAACGGGAAAUGUCUCAACUAUAUAUACUGCUAAGGAAGACUUAUUCCUUCUACCAGCACGACCAAAUUGCUGGCGCAAGUUAGACAAAGAAUAUGGAAAUCCUAUGGUUAUAACGGCAUCCAGUGAUCCUAUAUCAAUACCUAGCUCUAAAGCAUUCGUCGCAAUAAUCCCAUAUAAUUUCCCGUUAAACAUUUCACUCUCUAUCUUCCUGCGUUCCUGAACCGUAUACCCAGCCCUAUACGAUUGAAUCUUAGAUAAAAGAUCUCCUUUUUGUUUGGUUUUUAAUUCCUGCCUCACUAGUCUCAUUAACGACUCACAGGUUUUUCGAACACGACAGAAAACAAUUGUACGCACCCGCUUUUCGGCAAAUUUAAUAAGCAGUUUCGAGGCUUCAGAGAUUGCGCUUUUCUUUCCAUCAUCAGGAUGCUUGGGGUCGACAUAAGGUGGAUUCCACAUUACAAAUUUUUUUGAACCAGAAGGAGAAGAAGUAUAGUUAAUUAGUUUUAUAUUAUCUACUCCAAAAAUUUUUUUCAUAUGUUGUAAAGGAUCCUCAAUAGUAGCCGAGCAUGAUACAAAUCGAUAUUGACUAUUUCCAAAGUACUCAGCAAUACGGCGCAUCCUUCUUAGAACAAAAGCAACGUGAACGCCAAAUAUUCCAUUGUACACAUGAGCUUCAUCCAGGACGAAAAGUUUCAGGUUUUUAAAGAAAUAAUACCAACGAUUAGCAUUGGGAAGAAUCGUUUGAUGUAACAUAUCCGGAUUCGUAAAGAUUAUAUUUGCAGAUCUAAUAAUACUUUCUCUAGACUCAAGUGGUGUAUCCCCAUCGAAGGUGUCCACUCGAAUAUUCUUAAGCGUCGGCAUAUAGCUAAGUAUAUCGAUUAACGACUUCUUCUGAUCUUGGGCUAAAGAUUUAGUAGGGAAUACAAAAAAUGCCGUAGAUUGAUUAUCUUCUAACAAACUUUGUAAAAUUGGAAUUUGGUAAAUCAAAGACUUUCCACUAGAUGUAGAAGUUGACACUAUAACAUGAAAUCCGUUCCAAAGGUGGUUGAUAGCGUCUGCCUGAUGUUUGUAUGUCUUUUCGAUGUUUCUAGAUGUAUAAAGAGCAUUUAUAAGCUCUUGAGACAAAGGUCGAGACAACGCUCCAUAUUGUGCUUCAACAGCAGGAUAAGUAUGUAAAGCUUCUUGGACUAUUUGCCCUUCGUAAGAAGAUUCAGAAGCUAUUUCAUUUAAAAGUUCUUCAAUUGAGCACGCUUUAGUAUUUAAAUUGCAGUUUUCUAUUGAAUCAUUAGGAAUACUCGGUGAAUCAGGAGGAACCGGCUGGUUUUUCCGGGAUUGAGUUAAUAGCUGUUGCGUUGGGUCAAGUUCUGUCAAUUGACAUUUUUUUAUAUAUUCUUUAAUCCCUUGAAGGAACUUUUGGUUUCGUAACUCUAUGGCUUUCUUCAAAUUAUUAAAAUCCAGCUUUUGCCUCUGGAUAUUAGCCUUCAUUGUUGGGCCUUCACGUCUCCUUCGUUUGGAACUUCUCUCUUGCGUUUCUAAAAGCUCAAUAACCAAAACAUAUUCAGAACUCUGUGAGACCGUUGAACCAGUGUACAACUCAGGGUUUAGAUCAGUGUAAACAUUUUUAUUGAUUUCUAAUGCAAGGCUAGCAAGUGAUUUAUAAUUUAAUUCAAUUAUUUGAGGACAUAUUUCUCUUAGCUGAGAUAAAUCGCCGAUUGUCAACUCCUUUUUCAAACUUUGCUUAACACUCGAAUUGAGAAGGGGAAAAGUGAUUGUAAGAGAAUUUCUCAAAUAAAGAAAAGUGUAUGUAGUAUUAAUUACCUUGAAUAAAUUAAAAAGAUUGUCAAAUAUGGAUGGAAUAGGCUGAUUAGCUUGAAUAGUUCCAAGUUGUGGUUUUUUUUUGGGAUUAUCUGCUUUCAGAGGGAGCUUCCCUUCAUUAAUAUAUUUUUUAAAUUCAAAUUUAUCAUCCUGAUCAUUAGAUUCUUCCUUUUUAAUAGGAGUUUGAGACAUUACCCCUUCACCAUUAAAGUAUGGGCUAAGUGCAAAGGUAUUGAAAUACAAUGAUUUCCAUUAUAAC